UACGAAGGGGACUAGCGUUGUUCGGAAUCACUGGGCGUAAAGCGCACGUAGGCGGAUGUGUCAGUCAGGGGUGAAAUCCCGGGGCUCAACCUCGGAACUGCCUUUGAUACAGCACGUCUCGAGUCCGGAAGAGGUGGGUGGAAUUCCUAGUGUAGAGGUGAAAUUCGUAGAUAUUCGCAAGAACACCAGUGGCGAAGGCGGCUCACUGGCCCGAUACUGACGCUGAGGCACGAAAGCGUGGGGAGCAAACAGG
rnacentral:rRNA from 1 species